UAGUAUUUGGAGUCUGAUCUGAACUUGGCAUCCUCUGCAUUAGAUUGCUCAACCUGUCUGCUGCACAGAAACUCACCUCCCUAACCACUGCUUGCUGCUUUCGAUUUUUUGCAUUAGCCUACACGCAAAGCCACUGUCAGAUGUCAGAUGGAGAUGAGACUUCACAAGAAACCCCAAUGAAGGCAAAGGCCUACACUCUGCCAUGACUCGUGUCUUCUGCCUCCUGACCACCCUGGGGUUUGUCUGUGCGGCCCUGCAUGGCCACGCUUCCUAUCUCUAGGAUCUAUCCAUUCUCUGCUCUUCUCCACGGUGCUCUGUGCCCGCAAGCUGACUUCCAUGUCCUGCACCACCUGAGCUCUCUCACACUCUUACUUCCCCUUGGGUUCAUCAGUGGGAAGGACCAGCUCUUUGUCCCUUAAUCUGAGGAAAUAACAGCAUCAGGAGAAUCUUCCCACCGAGUCGUCUGAAUGAAGGCUGUUGGUUACAAGACUCUACUGGUUACACGUCAGCCCUACUCAAUAUGCAAGGGGAAUUUACAAGACAUGCAUACCAGGAGUUGAGGACUGCUGGAGCCACAUCAAAAGUUUUGCCUUUUCUACCACAUGCCACCCACUUACACAAUUACUUCUUUACAUGAACAUUUUAAACAAACCCAUCUUAAGCAAUAAUAUCUAUGAAAUCAUGGAUUUGAUGUGGUCUUUAUAUUUAUUUUAAUAAAUAUUUUCCAAAUAAA